GGUGGUCAACGCAGACGUGUUAUACAGCACGCCGCAGUGAGCUGAUGAAGGCCUUCGGGUCUGUAAAGCUCUGUUGUUAGGGAAGAACAAGUGCGAGAGUAACUGCUCGCACCUUGACGGUACCUAACCAGAAAGCCACGGCUAACUACGUGCCAGCAGCCGCGGUAAUACUCC
rnacentral:rRNA from 1 species